rnacentral:rRNA from 1 species
AGUGAACGCUGGCGGCGUGCUUAACACAUGCAAGUCGAACGAGAACGGGCUAUAGCUUGCUAUAGUUGUCAGCUAAGUGGCGCACGGGUGAGUAAUGUAUAGGUAAUAUGCCUCUUACUAAGGGAUAACAAAUGGAAACGUUUGCUAAUACCUUAUACUCCUUAUUAACAGAAGUUAAUAAGGGAAAGAUUUAUUGGUAAGAGAUUAGCCUGUAUUGUAUCAGUUAGUUGGUGGGGUAAUGGCUUACCAAGACUAUGACACAUAACUGGUUUGAGAGGAUGAUCAGUCACACUGGAACUGAGACACGGUCCAGACUCCUACGGGAGGCAGCAGUGGGGAAUAUUGUACAAUGGACGAAAGUCUGAUGCAGCAACGCCGCGUGGAGGAUGACACAUUUCGAUGCGUAAACUCCUUUUAUAUGAGAAGAUAAUGACGGUAUUAUAUGAAUAAGCACCGGCUAACUCCGUGCCAGCAGCCGCCGUAA